GGGGCUGUAGCUCAGUGGUAGAGCGUCCGCUUUGCAUGCGGAAGGCCCGGGGUUCGAACCCCCGAACCCCCG
rnacentral:tRNA from 1 species